UUUAAUCAAAAUCGGGUGACUUUGUAAUAUAGCUGUCAUAUAAACAUCCAAUAAAAUAGCAUGCGACAUGCGCCGUAUUCCUUCAAGAUAGUAGGCUGUUCUUUCGCGAACAUUAGACUUUUAAGAUAAAACUUUUUUCACUUUGAUGGCUAUAGGUGGAGGAAGAGUAUCAACAAAAUUAGCAAGUGUAUAUAUUUGUAGUUCCCUUUUUCGGUUCUAAAUGAUAGACUUCACCGAAACGUUUGGCAUCCGCUGAAAACAGCUCAAAAUCGUUGCAAAUAUAAAUAAUCAAACCAUUAGACGAUCAACUUCAACAGAGACAAAUCAUCAUUGACCCACUGUGCCACAAUCGGCCACACACUAAAUUUUGAAGAGAUGAAAAUAUAAGAUGACGAGCGGAAUUACAACAAAGCGUUCACUGUGGAGAUGCUGCUGCAAAUUAUUUUAAAACUCCGACGACUGAUACUGCCAAUUGCGUCUACCAUAUAUGUACAGACAUUUACUUGACAAGAAUUAGCCCAAAGCUCCACAACAAAGGGCGCUGACGUGUAAAAUAAUGAACAUACAUACAAUACCUGGUAAUAAACCUCAUACUACUUAUACGGAUUCUCCUUGUUAUGUUGCCUUUAUGGCAGGGCCAUUUAGAUAACUCAUCUACUUCAGGAUGCCAUGGAAGUAAUGUAUUAUGAUCAUAAGUUUUCAUCAGGCAUUGCUGGCAUUGAAAUUUCGUCACACAGGAGGCAGUUGUUUCUGAGAGUCAAUAGCGAAAUGGUGCCAAAAUAUAAGCAAUUGAGCAGUGAACAAUAAGUCGUUAUUGACAUAUUGGUAAAGGAAGGGAUGACUUAUAGGCAAAUUACUGAUAGAAUAGCAAGCUCUCAUUCGACCGUGAAAACUUUCGGUGUCCUAGAUCGUAAAAAAGGAAAAGUCUACCAAUAGAUGGAUGGCCUAAUAAAGUGCACUUACUAUUAGGACAGAGCUUCAGACACAUUAUGGAGAAAAGUUAAGUUUCGAAGCAGUGCGUAUCAGAUGGCAGAUUGUACACACAUAUGUCUUUUUAAUUGCUAUAUCGUCCAACUCCGGCGUUAUAGACCGCCUAGUAAAACACGACCAUUCGUAUAUUUUCCAUGUUUCUUGUAUGAUUUUAAUCAAAGUACUUAGUUCAUCUCUUUUAAGUGAAUAACUAGUAAGCACGAAUGCUAUCCCUAAGGCUAACUUCAAGCACAACUGCCUUUUCUUGUUCAUAGCGAUACUCAGGUACUCGAUACCCAGGAUAAAUGUCCCAAAAAGACUCGUGAAUAAGGCAAAUUUUGGUGUCAAAGGUACUGUCGGACCCUCACCCUGAUCGUCUGCACGUCUUCCUCACCUCAGAAUUAGAAUUUAGAAAAAUGAAAAUGCAAUUCUCAAAGUUGGAAUACAUUAUAGCUAUUAUACAUUUAGUCUGAAAAAAAUGUUGGUCACAUUAAACAACGCCUCCUUUUGUACAUCAAUUGUUGCGAAAAAAAAUUAUUGUUUACGAAGUACGAAAAACUAUAAUGAAUUUUGGAUUAAAAUUGGAAACGAAUUGAAUGUGUUGCAACGCCAUAUAGAAUCUAAUGAACAGAAUUUGGAAACGAAUGAAGGAAAAGAUUUUUAUAACUUGAAGUCUCUGCGGUCUGAACAAAGGUCCUGAAUGUCGACAAGUCGAAGUGGCACUGAAAAAAUGAAAUAAAAAUAAAAACGCAUUCGUGUUGUUUAUUUGGAAUUACUUAAUUCCAUAUCAACAUAAUAUUUUUAUUGAAUUCAGUA